ensembl:misc_RNA Metazoa_SRP Metazoan signal recognition particle RNA
GCUGGGCAUGGUGACUGGCACCUAUAGUCCCAGCUACUCAGGAGGCUAUGGGGUGGGAGGAUUGGUUGAGCCCAGGAGUUCUGGCCUGUAGUGUGCUAUGCCAACCAGGUAUCUGCACUAAGUUCAGCAUCAAUAUGGUGACCUUAUGGGAGCAGGGGCUACCAGUUUGCCUAAGGAAGGGUGAACCAGCCCAGGUUGGAAACUGAAGGUCAGAACUCGUGUUCUUAUCACUAGCGGGAUCAUGCCUGUGAAUAGCUGCUGCACUCCAGCUUGGGCAACAAAGUGAGACCCCCUUCUCU